CUAUCCUCCUUUGUUGCUGACUUAGUGUGUCCGCCCUCUCCCUGCUGGAGCAGCCCUUCAGGGGGACACUGGUUGUGCAGUUAUCAUAAACACCUACUGGAUGCUGUGCAGUACCUGAAAUGGCCGAGCUCUGGACAUCUUGCUUCAUCACCUUCUAAACAUGUCUACCCUCACUGGCCUGCUGAGGCUGCUAACUGGGUCUCACGCAUUGGAAACUCCUAAGCCAAGCCCAGAGGAGGAUGUGCCAAAGCUGUUGAUGAUCAUCUUUACACAGUUGGCCUUCAAAUCAGUAACAGCAGCUACCAUUUCAUGAAGCCCUCCAAGGACCUGCCUGGGCUUUUACAACACCACAGCCCCGUUAAGCAAGUGACCAACUUUUACACAGAUCCAUGCUGGGAGAGGCUGAGAAUCUGCAGAAGGGAGCACCUGGGAACCAAACCCUGUUCUUUUAUGCCUUUUAUACCAAAGAGGGCUUCACAUAGCUACAAUCUUUUCCUCAAAUGUGCCCAAGAGUGUCUCAUUCAAAAGUCACUGCACUUGCUACCUGCCUGCCAAGGUGAUGUCUUUCCUAACAUCUCUGCUUCUCCUUGCCCAUCCAGCUCUCAGGUCAGAUGUCAUCUCAGAGCUAUCUUCCCACCCAGUUCUAAACCAGUAUUGCCCACCCGUGCUUCCCUACUCCUGUAUCUUCCCCAUAUAUAUACUCUAUUGUUUCAUUUUUCUUCAUACCAUUGAUUACCACCUUUAAGUAUCUGGCUCAUUAAUUUCUCUCUCCACCCUCUCUAGAACAGCACUGCUCAGGGGAACGUUCUUUGGUGAAGGGACUAUUCCAGAUCUGCACUGUCCAACAUAGUAGUCGUUAGCUGCAGGUGACCGGUGAACAUUUGAAAGGCCAGCACAACUAAGGAACUGAACUGGACACCACCCCUGAAUCUCCCAUUCCUUGGGAAGCCAGCUUUUCUGACAUGUGCAGAACCAUAAGUGCCCAAUGUCGUCUCCCCCCCCCCCCCCCGCCGCCACCACCCAUGGCAGCUAGAUUCAGGAAACUGCUAGAUCAUCCAGAGAUGCGUGGCUGGAAGGUCAUCACCAAAGAUGCAGGCCAGCUACAGAUUUCACAGCUGGACACUGAAAGUUCCAGGUAGUUCCGGAGCCACUUGCAUUAAAGCACAGAGAACAAAGGGGAACACAAGAAGUUCUCCUUACAAAGCCAACACACUCUGAUAGAGAAAUGUCCAAAAAUAACAAACACAAAGAAAACCACCCACCUCCCCAAUGUAAUUUAUGAACGUUGAUGCAGAAAUCCUAAAAAAGUUAAUAAACAUCAGGACAUUACAACAGGGGCACGUCUAUAAUUAUGUCACUGUUAAUUUUUCAAAUGAGAAAAUCUCCAUGAUCCCUUUGGAGAGCUUUGGAGGGGGAAAAUUGAGACUAUUACUAAUUUUCAUUUACUAGAAAGGGUGAGAUGACUGUUCCUUUAUCCAGAUAAAAAGUGAUAUGAAUCAAAGCAGAAUCCAGAAACUUCCCCUUUUAAGUCAGAGACCAGAUACUUAAAAUUGUCACAUUCUUAGCCCAGUGUUUUGGAAGCAGUAGCUGUGAGGAAUGUAAUUACCUCCUCGCGUACCUUGAAUGCAAAAGAAGUAAAAUAAUAUUUGCCAGUAAUAUGACUCUGUACUGAGAAAAUUAAUGAUAACCUAACAAAACUGUUAAGAAUUUAGCAGCAGGAUAGGUUCAUCUGCAGCAACUACGCAGGACUGUAAGGAAGGAGUAACCUGAGCAGAUAAGACAGCAACUGGAGGGAAUGCCCAACUGCACGUGGAAAGCCUAACCAGCGCGGUGAGGGGAGUGGAUCCCUCCUUGUAUGCCUAUGCCAGAACUCGACUGAGACCAGUUCUGAUCAAAUUUCUGAAUGCAGUUAAAUGUAAUAUACAUUCUAACAGCAUGUUCUCAAUGAAUCCUGACAAGCUGAUGGUAGGUAUUCAUCUGGUUGACAACAGAUAAUAGGUUUUUAUAAUUAAAAAAAAAAAAAAAAAAUGAGGGCUUAC